rnacentral:rRNA from 1 species
CCUACGGGAGGCAGCAGUAGGGAAUCUUCCACAAUGGGCGAAAGCCUGAUGGAGCAACGCCGCGUGAGUGAUGAAGGCCUUCGGGUUGUAAAACUCUGUCAUUCGGGACGAACCGGAGUCUGAGGAAAUGCAGACUCUCUGACGGUACCGGAGGAGGAAGCCCCGGCUAACUACGUGCCAGCAGCCGCGGUAAUACGUAGGGGGCAAGCGUUGUCCGGAUUCACUGGGCGUAAAGCGCGCGCAGGCGGUGAUGUAAGUCUGAGGUGAAAACCCGAAGCUCAACUUCGGGACUGCCUUGGAUACUGCGUCACUUGAGGAUAGGAGAGGCAAGGGGAAUUCCACGUGUAGCGGUGAAAUGCGUAGAGAUGUGGAGGAACACCUGUGGCGAAGGCGCCUUGCUGGCCUAUUUCUGACGCUGAGGCGCGAAAGCGUGGGGAGCAAACAGGAUUAGAUACCCUGGUAGUCCACGCUGUAAACGAUGAGUGCUAGGUGUAGGUGGGCUCAUACCCAUCUGUGCCGAAGCUAACGCAUUAAGCACUCCGCCUGGGGAGGUACGGUCGCGAGACGAGAACGUACGAAGUAGAAGUUAGACGGCGNGAGACGNGACGACGGACGACGACGAGGGAGGAGG